rfam:Brachypodium distachyon strain Bd21 chromosome 1, whole genome shotgun sequence.
AACUUACUUCCUCCAUUCCAUAAUUCUUGUCAAAAUAUUACAUGUAUCUAGACGCUUUUUAGGAAUAGAUACAUCCAUUUUUUGGCAAAUUUGAGACAAGAAUUAUGGAACGAAGGGAGUAUUAA